UUACUUAUCUGGCAAGGGAGAUAUCAUGAUCACGAAGGUGGUUUUCCCAGGGCGAGGCUUAUCCAUUGCAUUACAGAUGUGCUGACCCCUGCUAUUUCCCCAAAUGUGGGAAACUCCACUGCAUAAAUUGUGGUAGUAGGGGACUGUGUUUGUGUUCUCCCCUG
rnacentral:snRNA from 1 species